ACAAGCAUCAGUUUCUGAGCUGCAGUAACUCUUUGUUGUAGGCUGUAAGAACAAGCAUCAGUUUCUGAGCUGCAGUAACUCUGUGUUGUAGGCUGUAAGAACAAGCAUCAGUUUCUGAGCUGCAGUAACUCUAUGUUGUAGGUUAUAAGAACAAGCAGCAUCGGUUUCUGAGCUGCAGUAACUCUAUGUUGUAGGCUGUAAGAACAAGCAUCAGUUUCUGAGCUGCAGUAACUCUAUGUUGUAGGUUAUAAGAACAAGCAGCAUCGUUUUCUGAGCUGCAGUAACUCUGUGUUGUAGGCUGUAAGAACAAGCAUCGUUUUCUGAGCUGCAGUAACUCUGUGUUGUAGGCUGUAAGAACAAGCAUCAGUUUCUGAGCUGCAGUAACUCUGUGUUGUAGGCUGUAAGAACAAGCAUCAGUUUCUGAGCUGCAGUAACUCUAUGUUGUAGGUUAUAAGAACAAGCAGCAUCGGUUUCUGAGCUGCAGUAACUCUAUGUUGUAGGCUGUAAGAACAAGCAUCAGUUUCUGAGCUGCAGUAACUCUGUGUUGUAGGCUGUAAGAACAAGCAUCAGUUUCUGAGCUGCAGUAACUCUAUGUUGUAGGUUAUAAGAACAAGCAGCAUCAGUUUCUGAGCUGCAGUAACUCUAUGUUGUAGGCUGUAAGAACAAGCAUCGUUUUCUGAGCUGCAGUAACUCUGUGUUGUAGGCUGUAAGAACAAGCAUCGUUUUCUGAGCUGCAGUAACUCUGUGUUGGCUGUGUUCUUAACACA